ACAGCCCCGUACACAAAAAUGCACAUACUGUGAGCUCGAUGAGUAGGGCGGGACACGUGGUAUCCUGUCUGAAUAUGGGGGGACCAUCCUCCAAGGCUAAAUACUCCUGACUGACCGAUAGUGAACCAGUACCGUGAGGGAAAGGCGAAAAGAACCCCGGCGAGGGGAGUGAAAAAGAACCUGAAACCGUGUACGUACAAGCAGUGGGAGCACAGAGCAAUCUGUGUGACUGCGUACCUUUUGUAUAAUGGGUCAGCGACUUAUAUUCUGUAGCAAGGUUAACCGAAUAGGGGAGCCGAAGGGAAACCGAGUCUUAACUGGGCGUUAAGUUGCAGGGUAUAGACCCGAAACCCGGUGAUCUAGCCAUGGGCAGGUUGAAGGUUGGGUAACACUAACUGGAGGACCGAACCGACUAAUGUUGAAAAAUUAGCGGAUGACUUGUGGCUGGGGGUGAAAGGCCAAUCAAACCGGGAGAUAGCUGGUUCUCCCCGAAAGCUAUUUAGGUAGCGCCUCGUGAAUUCAUCUCCGGGGGUAGAGCACUGUUUCGGCAAGGGGGUCAUCCCGACUUACCAACCCGAUGCAAACUGCGAAUACCGGAGAAUGUUAUCACGGGAGACACACGGCGGGUGCUAACGUCCGUCGUGAAGAGGGAAACAACCCAGACCGCCAGCUAAGGUCCCAAAGUCAUGGUUAAGUGGGAAACGAUGUGGGAAGGCCCAGACAGCCAGGAUGUUGGCUUAGAAGCAGCCAUCAUUUAAAGAAAGCGUAAUAGCUCACUGGUCGAGUCGGCCUGCGCGGAAGAUGUAACGGGGCUAAACCAUG
rnacentral:rRNA from 1 species